AUUGAACGCUGGCGGCAGGCUUAACACAUGCAAGUCGAGCGAGCGGCGGACGGGUGAGUAAUGUCUGGGAAACUGCCUGAUGGAGGGGGAUAACUACUGGAAACUGUAGCUAAUACCGCAUACCAUCAGAUGUGUCCAGAUGGGAUUAGCUAGUAGGGGGGGUAAUGGCUCACAUAGGCGAGGAUCCCUAGCUGGUCUGAGAGGAUGACCAGCCACACUGGAACUGUGACACGGGCCAGACUCCGACGGGAGGCAGCAGUGGGGAAUAGUGGACAAGGGGCGCAAGCCUGAUGCAGCCAGGCCGCGUGUGUGAAGAAGGCCUUCGGGUUGUAAAGCACUUUCAGCGAGGAGGCGUUACUCGCAGAAGAAGCACCGGCUAACUCCGUGCCAGCAGCCGCGGUAAUUC
rnacentral:rRNA from 1 species